rnacentral:rRNA from 1 species
GACGAACGCUGGCGGCGUGCUUAACACAUGCAAGUCGAACGGAAAGGCCCUGCUUUUGUGGGGUGCUCGAGUGGCGAACGGGUGAGUAACACGUGAGUAACCUGCCCUUGACUUUGGGAUAACUUCAGGAAACUGGGGCUAAUACCGGAUAGGAGCUCCUGCUGCAUGGUGGGGGUUGGAAAGUUUCGGCGGUUGGGGAUGGACUCGCGGCUUAUCAGCUUGUUGGUGGGGUAGUGGCUUACCAAGGCUUUGACGGGUAGCCGGCCUGAGAGGGUGACCGGCCACAUUGGGACUGAGAUACGGCCCAGACUCUUACGGGAGGCAGCAGUGGGGAAUAUUGCACAAUGGGCGGAAGCCUGAUGCAGCAACGCCGCGUGCGGGAUGACGGCCUUCGGGUUGUAAACCGCUUCCGCCUGUGACGAAGCGUGAGUGACGGUAAUGGGUAAAGAAGCACCGGCUAACUACGUG